AUUGAACGCUGGCGGCAGGCCUAACACAUGCAAGUCGAGCGGAGCUGCGGACGGGUGCGUAAUGCCUAGGAAUCUGCCUGGUAGUGGGGGAUAACGUCCGGAAACGGGCGCUAAUACCGCUUACUCUCAGAUGAGCCUAGGUCGGAUUAGCUAGUUGUUGGGGUAAAGGCCUACCAAGGCCACGAUCCGUAACUGGUCUGAGAGGAUGAUCAGUAACACUGGAACUGAGACACGGUCCAGACUCCUCCGGGAGGCAGCAGUGGUGAAUAUUUGACAAUGGGCGAAAGCCUGAUCCAGCCAUGCCGCGUGUGUGAAGAAGGUCUUCGGAUUGUAAAGUACUUUAAGUUGGGAGGCGUUACCAACAGAAUAAGCACCGGCUAACUUCGUGCCAGCAGCCGCGGUAAUUC
rnacentral:rRNA from 1 species